CUUGAGAUUUUAUCUAUUUGAAAGGAAACAUAUAGUGCGAUGACAGCAUUGUGUCUACGGUUUCCUUAACAAAAUGCAUUAUUGAUGACCAAUGAGUCUUCAAACAAGUAUUGAUGCACAGAAAAUCACUGCAAUCUCCAAGUCCCAAAGACCCAAACUAACCAUGUUCACACACACAUACAAAUGCACAUUCCCAAAACCUUUUCUCAAACACACAAAGAUGGAAGUUUGGAACACUGUAAUCAAUCACCCGUGAUCCAAAUAAAUGCAUCACGUGCAUUAGUGCUUUUCACAUUUUAGCUUUGCAUGACACAGGUGCACUAAACCGAGCACCACACGUAACACUCCUCAAACCCUACUUCCCACGUGGCGACUCAAAGCUGCUCACCCACGACACGUAUGAGAUAAAACAUAACAUAUUUCAAAUUCAAAAACCCUUAUCUACUAUCCCACUCUCACUCUCUCCCUUUCAAAUCCAAAUUCCAAUUCUUCCGCCACACUCUUUCUCCUUUCCUCUUUUUCCUUCUUUAUAUAUGGGUCUUUUCUGGAUCUCUGAUCUCAUAAACUGAGAGAGAGAGAAUUUGGCAUCUAUGGGGCUUAGGAUCGUGUACGGAGUUCUGUUCCUGUCAUUCUCCUGUGCAGCCAUCAAGCUCCUCCACCUUAUGCUCCACCCAGUAUUCUACCUCACCACCUGAGAAACUUAUUUGAAUCUGCAGCAGGUGAAAUGGGUUAGUCAGACAACGUAUACUUAGGGUUCCUUUGGGAUGUAUACCAAUUGGGUUUCUAUUAGUUUUUUUUUUAUUGCAGUGUUUGUUGUUGUAAAAAUAUGUAAUGUAAUGAUUGAAUGUUGGUCCUGAUGAUAUGUUAAGUGGGGAUGAAAGUGUGUGGUGGUUGAUUUUGUUUGGUGUAAUAUCGUGGGAUUGAUUUCAGAGUUUUUGCUCUAAUUGCUUACUAUUUACGUGUUCAUAUAUUGUUUCUGAUGUGGAUUGUGGUGCUUGAACUUUAUGAAAUGGUGGAUGGGGAUCAUGAGGCAUGAAUCUUAUGAUCGUUAGGGUAGCAAUAUUAUUCAUUGGAGUCAUGGUUUGGUGUUGAUUGGACAUUGGACAUUCAUGAAUAGCCAGUUGGUGCAAUAUUGGUGAAAGAGCCAACACAUCCUGAGCUGAUUCUCUAUAAAUAGGGCAUCACACGUCUCAAAUCAGUUCUCCAUGGCUACCCCUUUGGCCCGCAUCUUUGCCUACGGAACAACGGAUCGGUCCGCUCUCAAUUGCUGACCCAUCUCUGAAAAGCACUACAGCAACAUGGCCGAUCUCAUCUACUCUUGGUCUUGGUGGAUGGUGAUGGAUGGUGGCGAAUGAAUUGAUGGGUUGCGACGUGUUUUUUUUUUUAAGAAACAAUGAGUUUUAUUCAUUAAAUAUGAUUUAGAUCGUACAAUAGGCAUCUGAAAUAAUAGUCGGCUGAAGUGAAGCACUCAGUUUGAAUAGAAGGAUUCAAAACCGAGGCUGAGCAACAGAAUUUGCUUGUCUAUUUACAUGAAGAAAUUCAAUGAAAGGAAAAGACUUACAUAAA